GUCGAAAGGGAGCGGGGUGGGGGGAGGCAACGGGCCACGCCAAGAGGGAGGGGCCGGAAGGGACCUCUGCGUGAGUGGAAGCCGCCCGGGCCAGGCCGUGGCCUUGGCCGGCAGCCCGAAGGAGAUCCGCUCCAGGCUUGGCACUCACCGCCGCUUUUCUUCGUCGAAGCUGAGAACGAGCCUCGGCCUCCGGUCGUCGCCAUCUCGCUUCUUCUUCUUGUUGCGGCCCAUAGCGACGGGGCCACUGAGGCCCAGAAGAAAGAAGGCCCUUGUUCAAAGCCACACCCUGGGGACUAGAACCCAGAUCAUCUGCGCCUACUCUCCUCUGUCUGCCCCCACGCCAUCCCUGGGCCUUGGAGCGGGGUCCCCGCACUCACGCAAGCCAUGAUUGAGGACAGGAGGAUGUUCCUGCGGACUGCGGCACCAGCGGUCUCAAGACUCUAGGAGAGAGAUGGGCCCCCGGGGCCGCUCCCACCCUUUUAACUGGACCAGACUCCGGUGAGUCCCGCCCCUCUGGGCGCCCAACCAAUUGUAAGUCAGGACAGAGAAGGGGGCCCCACUGGAGGCGGAGUCAAUGGCAUUUUGAAGCCCUUCGGGAGCAGAGGUGACCAAUCGGAGUGGUAAACCCCCUUCUUCUUUAACCACUCCCCCGGGGUCCAGGCUCCACCUCCCAUUCUCCUUCAUCCCUCCCCACACCCCACCCAAAAAAUUGUGCUGUGGCAGGGAUUGGGGGAAGCCAAUGGAAAAUAGUUUGAGGAUGAGUUAGGCACGAGAGUUGGCGGGAAGGGGGCCUAGGGCCAGCAGGCCGAGCUCCGGGGGUAGCCAGAGAAGAUGGCUGAGGGGAUACAGGGUCCUUCAGGGAAUUAGAAUUGGGGUUCUUGAGGCUGCCCUGGCAGGGACCAGGGCGUGGCCGCGCUGCAAGGCCUCUGCAGAGAGCCCAGGACCAUUAACCACAAGGCCCUGGCCCCACCCGGGCCUCCCCCGGAAGCAGGGAUUGUGGCUGCUGUUCAGGCUUCUUGCUAGCGCUAAAGAAAGGCUGGGCCGGGUGCCAGGCCUGACGCUGCCUCCGGGGCUCAGGCCUCAGGCCUCAGGCCUCAGUCCUCCUGAGGGGCCUGCUGGGGAUCUUCCAAAAGCCCCUGCCUGACAGCCUCCUGCCUGAGAGUCAGGCCUGGGAGGCGGCCCGGGAUGGGCCGAGCCGUGAAGGGUUGGGGUCCCCCCUCUGAACAUUCCCCCCUUCUGCUCUCUUCCCAUCUGUCUCUCCAAGGCUAGGCACUGUCUUCUCUUUCUCUAGUCAUUUAGCAGAUAUUUUACUGAGCAUCUACUAUGCGCUGGCCUGUGAGGAGUCAAAGGUGAACUCCAUCCAGCCCCUGCUUUCAGGUAGCACACUGCUGGGGUCGCACCUGGCCAUGAACCUGAGUAAGUAGCAUGUUGCUGGCCCCAAAGGGAGUCAUGAACAAGCACCGUGGUGCCGAGGAGACUGUCCAGAGUGUGAAGAAGGUGGGUUUUGAAGGACGGAUGAAGAAGGAGGGCCUGGCUUUCCAGCGUGAGCAAAGGCGCAGACCGGAACAGUGAACAUCUGGGCAUGGCUGGAGUUUGGGGUAUGUUGGGGAAAGAUGGGGCAUGGGGCCGGGAGGCCAACAGUACGUGGAUCAUGAAGGGCCUCUUUAAGGGGCUUGGCCAUUGUUUUAACUGAGGGUGCUGGGGAGCCAUAGAAGGUUAUAGGGAAGGUGAGUAUUGAGGACAGACACGAGUUACAGGGAAGAUCGCUGCAGCAAGAGUUGAGGUUGGAUUGGAGGGGUGCUCACCUCAUACCCAGGAGCCAGGAGGAGAGAGGGGGAUGGGGAGCACUAGGCAAGGUGGGGCACUUACUCGGAGAGUUGUCAUUGGGACCUCCUUCUCCGCAUUGCCAUCUCCCUUCUGAAAUUGCCAGCACCGAAGAUGUGGACCAGGAGGGACUCACAUCUGGAGGCCAGGCCCUCCGCUGCCCCCCCUCCACCCUACCUUCCUCCGGGUGACUGAAGCCCACCCCUGGCACAGGAGGGGUGGGAAGGGGGGGGGGCUCAUUGGGCCUCGACGCAGACCGCCCCCUGUCUGAGCCCAUCACCCCUCCGAGACCAAGCCUCCGAAACCAACCACAGCUGUUUCAGUUUUUCCUCCAGGGCUUCUCCUAAACCUCAACGCAGGGAGGGGGUGGGCGGAGCCAGCUCCGAGGCCUUUCCUGUGUGCUUCCCCUCCAAGGGCCACGGACACCCUCCGCCUGAUCAAGCAAUAGGGGCAUUUGAGGAGUCCUGGACCGAGGAGCAGAGGUGGUUCCGGCACAGUCCUUUCCUGGCUGCGUCGCGUCGGUCUGGCUGGCUGUCCUAGCCCAGCAGGUGGGCUCCCAGGGCAUCAAGAGCUGCUUCCCCCCUGCUUCCCCCAACUUGGAAGACAGGCCCAGUGCCACGAAGCGUUUGCUGUUGGACGAGGGGCUGCUUUAUUCUCCAGGGUCUGGCCAGCUGAGGGCUGGUAGAGAAUCGGCAUGGCGUGGGGAACAGGCCUCCAGAAAGGCCCCUCUGGGAGUCUGGGGAGUUGGAAUCCGGUCCCAGCCCUGCCACGCCGUCCCCCAGGACAUCCUGGCAAAUCAAUCUGCCCAUCUGUAGACUGGGGAGGUGAAACCGUGCUCUCCUACACAAGGUUACUACGGGGUGGAAUUCAUGUCUGUUGCACUAAAUAUGUGAUUCCCCCCCCCGACCCCUCCCCCCGCAAUCUCAGAAGGUUUUAGCUUCCCUCUUGUCUCUUUCUAGGCUGAGCUUACCUUUCUGGGGUCAACACCUCUGGGAAGUCUCCCUCUUACCCCCACCUUAACCCCAAUAGUCCCUGCCAGCCUAUGCUGGAGCAGGGAGUCUCUCCAGAUUCCAGUGUCCCCUGUAACAGGGGUCAUGGUUUUCCCGGGUGGGGGCAGGGACCAGGUGCGCUGUGUGUGCCGAGCUCCCGCCCAGUCCUCGGGGCCUCCUAGCGAUGGCACCCACUUAUCUGCCCGGCCCUGUGCCCGGCGCCUUGCUUUCAUACAUUAUCUCAUUUCAUCUACACCUCCCCCCUGCCUGAUGCUUGCCAGCUGGGAUGUACCGCACAGGGAAGCGGCUCCGGGCCCUGAAAUGAAUGAAGCUGGUGUCAGAAUCGGGAGAAGGGAGGUGAGUCCUAAUUUGGGGGCUGCCUGGCUGUGACUGCGGCCAAGGACCUUACCCUCGCGGAACCUGUUUCCAGGCCUGGAAAGUGGGAACGUUAGCAUUCACUGACUGGCUGGAGGAUUACAGAGGUGAUGUGGUGGGGGGGGCUCCACAUUAUUUCUCUCUUCUGCACCCUCAAGGCCAAGGCUCCCCACCACGGGGGCUCUCCUUCUCCCUCACUGCUCUGCAGCAGAGGCAGUGAACUCUCUGGAAUAUUCCCCCAUUCUAACAGGCAGCUCUACAGGCUGGACCUUGGCCGCUGCUGUUAGAAAUGAGCUCAGCACCUCUGGACAGGGGACCCAGGCCAGCGCGGCCCUUCCCAGACUGCCGACUCCUGCCCUGUCCUGCCCGCUCCUGCCCUGCCCGUGUGAAGGCAGUCCCUCCUCCAGCCGGCAGUGGCAGGGAGGGCUGCCAGACGCAUUGAAACACCAUCCACACCCCUCAGCCAACCUGACUGGCCCAGCCUGGGGAUAGUGGAGGUGACCAGAGCAGGCUCUGAAGUCCUAGAAGUCAGAGCAGGAAACGACCCCAGAGAUUCUGUACCUGAUCUGCUCCCUCACUUAAGGAUGGAACAGAAGCCACCCAAAGAGACCGGCUCCUUGGCCAAGGUCACACAG